UUUUUUUUUUUUUUUUUUUUUUUUUUUUUUUUUUUUUUGCUCACGAAACAAGGAACAGUUAUUUUAUAACAAAUGCGAGCAAGGAUAG
rnacentral:ribozyme from 11 species